ACUAAAUGUCAAACAUAUUCUUA
rnacentral:miRNA from 1 species